UACGGAGGGUGCAAGCAUUAAUCGGAUUCAUUGGGCGUACAGGGCGCGUAGGCGGGAGGGAAAGUCAGAUGUGAAAUCCCGGGGCUCAACCUCGGAACAGCAUUUGAAACUUCCUUUCUUGAGGAUAGGCGGGGAAAACGGAAUUCCACAUGUAGCGGUGAAAUGCGUAGAUAUGUGGAGGAACACCGGUGGCGAAGGCGGUUUUCUAGCUUAUUCCUGACGCUGAGGCGCGAAAGCAAGGGGAUCAAACAGG
rnacentral:rRNA from 1 species